rnacentral:lncRNA from 1 species
GACUUUGACAACCUAAUGUUUAAUUCCAAAGACUUCGUUGGUGCAUACAAGUGGCGCUGCUUUAGUCCUGGAACAGUUGUCUACAUGCAAUCAAAUGAAAAUAAUAUUAACAGAAACCUAUUUAUCAGCUAGCCAUUUCUACCUAUGGUCUUGCCAUCAACAUAUGGGUGCACGUGAAGGGAAACUUAUUUUUGCUUCUAUUAAAUUGUGAAUAUGCACACUUUGGACCAAAAUAAAAAU